rnacentral:rRNA from 1 species
UACAGAGGUCCCAAGCGUUGUUCGGAUUCACUGGGCGUAAAGGGUGCGUAGGUGGUUGUUUAAGUCUGUUGUGAAAGCCCCGGGCUCAACCUGGGAAUGGCAAUGGAUACUGGACAGCUAGAGUGCGGUAGAGGGUAGUGGAAUUCCCGGUGUAGCAGUGAAAUGCGUAGAGAUCGGGAGGAACACCAGUGGCGAAGGCGGCUACCUGGACCAGCACUGACACUGAAGCACGAAAGCGUGGGGAGCAAACAGG